rfam:Rachicladosporium sp. CCFEE 5018 unplaced genomic scaffold Supercontig_29, whole genome shotgun sequence.
GCCCUGCUGGCGCAAUGGUAGCGCGCCAGACUUCUAAUCUGGAGGUUGCAUGUUCGAGUCCUGCGUGGUA